rnacentral:rRNA from 1 species
CUUAAGCAUAUCAAUAAGCGGAGGAAAAGAAACCAACGGGGAUUGCCUCAGUAACGGCGAGUGAAGCGGCAACAGCUCAAAUUUGAAAUCCGGCUCCGGCCCGAGUUGUAAUUUGCAGAGGAUGCUCUGGGGACGUCCCCGGUCCAAGUUCCUUGGAACGGGGCGUCGUAGAGGGUGAGAACCCCGUACGCGGCCGGGCGCCGUCCCCGUGCAGAGCUCCUUCGACGAGUCGAGUUGUUUGGGAAUGCAGCUCUAAAUGGGAGGUAUAUUUCUUCUAAGGCUAAAUACCGGCCAGAGACCGAUAGCGCACAAGUAGAGUGAUCGAAAGAUGAAAAGCACUUUGAAAAGAGAGUUAAAAAGUACGUGAAAUUGUUAAAAGGGAAGCGUCUACGGCCAGACUUGGCGGCGGUUGCUCAACCGGUCAUUGCCCGGUGCACUCUUCCGCCGCCAGGCCAGCAUCGGUCCGGGCGGCCGGACAAAGGCUUUGGGAACGUGGCCCCUCGGGGUGUUAUAGCCCAUCGUAUAAUACGGCCCGCCUGGACCGAGGACAGCGUUUGCUCGGAUGCUGGCGUAAUGGCAGUCGACGGCCCGUCUUGAAACACGGACCAAGGAGUCUAGCACAUGUGCGAGUGUUUGGGUGUCAAGCCCGUACGCGUAAUGAAAGUGAACGGAGGUGGGAGCUUCUGCGCACCACCGACCGAUCCCGAUGUCAUCGGAAGGAUUUGAGUAGGAGCACACGUGCUGGGACCCGAAAGAUGAUGAACUAUGCCUAAAUAGACAGAAGCCGCCCGAAAGGGCGGUGGAAGGUCGCAGCGGUUCUGACGUGCAAAUCGAUCGUCAAAUUUGGGUAUAGGGGCGAAAGACUAAUCGAAUCAUCUAGUAGCUGGUUCCAGCCGAAGU